GGGAUUUGUUCCAGGCAACACCGGGUUAGCAGCUAGUGUCAGAUAGAAAAGGCCCGUGUACAUCAGUUGUCCCAGGUCGUUGGUCAUUUGCAAGAGAUGAAAGUAAUACAAGUUUUCCCUUGACCAGAACAUCAGCACACCCCUUUCUCCAACUUAUAUGGAUGUCAUUCAGAACAGUAAACAUACUUCGAAGAAAAUACUGAAUCAUUUUGCGGAUUUUGAGCACAAGUGUUAUGCAGAACUAAUGGUGUUACAAGAAAAGAGAGAGAAAGCUAACAGAAAGUUCAGAAGGUUCGUUUUUCAAACUUU